UACGGAGGGUGCGAACGUUGCUCGGAAUCAUUGGGCGUAAAGCGCACGUAGGCGGCAAAGAAAGUUGGGUGUGAAAGCCCUGGGCUCAACCCAGGAAGUGCAUUCAAAACUACUUUGCUUGAAUCUCGGAGGGGGUCAGAGAAUUCCCGGUGUAGAGGUGAAAUUCGUAGAUAUCGGGAGGAAUACCAGUGGCGAAGGCGCUGACCUGGACGAAGAUUGACGCUGAGGUGCGAAAGCGUGGGGAGCAAACAGG
rnacentral:rRNA from 1 species